rnacentral:lncRNA from 13 species
CACCACUAUACUGGCACAGAGCUGGUACUAAAGUUUGCAACAUCUGCCAGGGACACCAUGCUAACGAGGCACAUGGUUCACCAUGUGGUCGAGGAGCUGGUAAAGCUGAAGGACGUGGAUGAAGGGACACCAGCUUCAGGGAGCAGUGAGUCUGUCACAGCACCCCUAAUCACUAACCCCAUCAAAGUGGACAACAUCACAACAACCAUGACCACGACUCCAGUUGACCUCCAGUCAGAAGAUUUUGUGGUCAUUAAACCAAAGAAAAGCAGAGUCAUGAGAUUCUUCCGUCGACUUUUCUGCUGCAUAUACGAAGAUGAUUUGAUGGUGUGAACCUAACCAGCUUUUCAGAGGAUGACUUCAGCUCACACACAAACACACGGGCGCGCACACACACAUAUACGCAUGCACACACACACACACACACCAGAUGUUGUUUAACAUGAGUUUUGUAUGUUAAAUAUUUCUCUAUAAUUUUUCCUCAUUAAAUAUUUUAUUAUGUCUUCAUUCAAUUACUCUUUUUACUAUUUAC